rnacentral:rRNA from 1 species
AUUAUUAGAAAAUUAUUAAUAGUAAAAGCCGCUCAAUGUCAAAAUUAAUAGCCGCAAGUCGUGCUAAGGUAGAAUAACCAUUUGUCUUUUAUUUAAAGGCCAAAACAAAAGAUUCAACAUUUAAAUAAAUAUUUAUAGUUUAUUUAUCUAAAUUAUUUUUGAUGUAAAGCGACAUUAAUUCAUAAAAAAGGCGAUAAGACCCUAUUGAACUUUACUUUAGUUUAACUGGGGCAGUUAAUAAAUAUUAUUUUAAUUUAAUAUUAAUUUAAAAUGACCUAAUAUAAUUAAUUCAAUGAUUAAGUUACCAUAGGGAUAACAGUGUAAUAUUAUUUUAAAGAUCUUAUUAAAAAUAAUGAUUGCAACCUCGACGUUGACUAACAUUCUUAAUUAUGCAUUAAUAAUUAAAGAAAGUCUGUUCGACUUUUAAACAGUUACA